UACGUAGGUGGCAAGCGUUUGUCCGGAUUUACUGGGCGUAAAGAGCGCGCAGGCGGUCGAAUAAGUCGAAUGUGAAAGCCCCCGGCUCAACUGGGGAGGGUCAUUCGAUACUGUUCGACUUGAAGGCAGGAGAGGGAAGCAGAAUUCCCGGUGUAGUGGUGAAAUGCGUAGAUAUCGGGAGGAAUACCAGUGGCGAAGGCGGCUUCCUGGCCUGUUCUUGACGCUGAGGCGCGAAAGCUGGGGGAGCAAACGGG
rnacentral:rRNA from 1 species